rnacentral:tRNA from 1 species
GCUAAUUUAGUUUAAUAAUAGAAUUUGUAACUUGUAAUUAUAGGGUUUUAGUUAGCAG